rnacentral:tRNA from 1 species
GCGGAUUAGUGUAGUCGAUCACACGCCGGUCUCAUGUACCGGUAACAGGGGUUUGAAUCCUCUAUCCGCAC